rnacentral:rRNA from 1 species
CCGUAGCCUGGUAGCGGGGGAUAACUAUUGGAAACGAUAGCUAAUACCGCAUAAGAGUAGAUGUUGCAUGACAUUUGCUUAAAAGGUGCAAUUGCAUCGCUACCAGAUGGACCUGCGUUGUAUUAGCUAGUUGGUGGGGUAACGGCUCACCAAGGCGACGAUACAUAGCCGACCUGAGAGGGUGAUCGGCCACACUGGGACUGAGACACGGCCCAG